GACGAACGCUGGCGGCGUGCCUAAUACAUGCAAGUAGAACGCUGAAGGAGGAGCUUGCUUCUCUGGAUGAGUUGCGAACGGGUGAGUAACGCGUAGGUAACCUGCCUGGUAGCGGGGGAUAACUAUUGGAAACGAUAGCUAAUACCGCAUAAUAGUAGAUGUUGCAUGACAUUUGCUUAAAAGGUGCAAUUGCAUCACUACCAGAUGGACCUGCGUUGUAUUAGCUAGUUGGUGAGGUAACGGCUCACCAAGGCGACGAUACAUAGCCGACCUGAGAGGGUGAUCGGCCACACUGGGACUGAGACACGGCCCAGACUCCUACGGGAGGCAGCAGUAGGGAAACUUCGGCAAUGGACGGAAGUCUGACCGAGCAACGCCGCGUGAGUGAAGAAGGGUUUCGGAUCGUAAAGCUCUGUUGUAAGAGAAGAACGAGUGUGAGAGUGGAAAGUUCACACUGUGACGGUAUCUUACCAGAAAGGGACGGCUAACUACGUG
rnacentral:rRNA from 1 species